UAUGCUUUUGUUUCUUAAAAGAAAACAUUUAAUGGUUUUAAGAAUUGCUACCAAAAUUUUUUUUUAAUACAGUCGAACCUCUUUCCCUCAAAAUUGGCGGGAGUAUCAUAAUUAUUUAUGUUAACCAGAUUUCAUCUUAUCCGAUACAUUAUGAAUAAUUGAUACAUUAUGCACAUGCUUCUUAUCUAUGUUGUGACCUUCCAUGUCAGCUCGAAAUUUUCAUGUUAAAUAUGUAAAAUACAGUAAUAAUUGAUUGCUGACUCCCGGGACCGAACAUAUAUUUCAUGUAAAACGAUAUUUCACACUAAGUGAUUUCGCAUUAAUGAGGUUUGACUGUAUUUCCUUUUUUUUUCAUAUGAAGAAACUGAUAUUUUUACCUUUUUCAUUCAUGUGAGAAAUGAUAAACACAAAGGAAUAAAAGAUAUUUUUAUCAACAUAUUUACAUCUAACUUUGUGACUGCCAUUGGAAAUUCUUUUAAGUUCUACUUUAGAACAGAGAAUUCUUUUUUUUGAUUCUAGUUACUGUUUUACCUUCUGCCUGGCAAUGUAUUCGUGUCAUGAUGUCUUAUAUCAGUCUGAACAAUUUCAAGAAGAUUUGUUCCUGACACUGUUGCACCUACUCCAUCACUUACAGCUAAAGAAUGGCUGAAUGAAAAAGAAAACAAAAAUCCUAUUCUGAUAUCUAUGAAGGUAAA